rnacentral:rRNA from 1 species
CCUACGGGCGGCAGCAGUCGAGAAUCUUUCACAAUGGGGGCAACCCUGAUGGUGCGACGCCGCGUGGGGGAAUGAAGGUCUUCGGAUUUUAAACCCCUGUCUUGUGGGAGCAAAUUAAAACGAUAGUACAACAAGAGGAAGAGACGGCUAACUCUGUGCCAGCAGCCGCGGUAAUACAGAGGUCUCAAGCGUUGUUCGGAAUCACUGGGCGUAAAGCGUGCGUAGGCUGUUUCGUAAGUCGUGUGUGAAAGGCGCGGGCUCAACCCGCGGACGGCACAUGAUACUGCGAGACUAGAGUAAUGGAGGGGGAACCGGAAUUCGCGGUGUAGCAGUGAAAUGCGUAGAUAUCGGGAGGAACACUCGUGGCGAAGGCGGGUUCCUGGACAUUAACUGACGCUGAGGCACGAAGGCCAGGGGAGCGAAAGGGAUUAGAUACCCUAGUAGUC